rnacentral:rRNA from 1 species
AUUGAACGCUGGCGGCAGGCCUAACACAUGCAAGUCGAACGAGUGGCGGACGGGUGAGUAAUGUCUGGGAAACUGCCUGAUGGAGGGGGAUAACUACUGGAAACGGUAGCUAAUACCGCAUACCAUCGGAUGUGCCCAGAUGGGAUUAGCGAGUAGGUGGGGUAAAGGCACACCUAGGCGACGAUCCCUAGCUGGUCUGGGAGGAAUAACAGUCACACUGGGACUGAGACACGGUCCAGACUCCUACGGGAGGCAGCAGUGGGUAAUAGUGUACAAUGGGCGCAAGCCUGAUGCAGCCAUGCCGCGUGUAUGAAGAAGGCCUUCGGGUUGUAAAGUACUUUCAGCGGGGAGGCGUUACCCGCAGAAGAAGUACCGGCUAACUCCGUGCCAGCAGCGGCGGUAAUUC